rnacentral:lncRNA from 1 species
AUAGACUGGCCAGCUUAAACAACAGAAAUUUAUUUUCUGGCAGUCCUAAAUGUUACAAGUCCAAGGUCAAGGUGCUGGCAGGGAUAAUUUCCUCUCAGGGUCCUCAGGGAAGGAUCUGUUUCAGGUCUCCAUCCCUGGCUUGCAGAUGGCCGCCCUCUUGCUGCCUUUUCCAUACCCAGCUCUCUGUACACGUAUAUGCCUGAUGUCUUUUUGUUGGUUCAAUUUCCUCUUCUUAUGAAAACACCAGUCAGAUUAGAUUAGGGCCUACCCUAACAGCCUCAUUUUAAUUUAAUCAUCCCCUUAAAGUCCCUAUUUCCAAUCCAGUCACAUUUGGAGGUACUAGGGGUUAGGACUUCAAAAUAUGAAUGUAGGGGAGACCUAUUUCAGCCCAUAUCAAGAGCCAAAAGUACCAUCUCUAUCCUCAAAAUCACAGAGAGAGGGACUUCAAUUGUUUCAUCUGAAUUAAAAAUUAGAAUAAAGAAACUCUGGUGUGUGUGUGUGUGUGUGUGUGUGUGUGUGUGUGUGAUGGAAUACUACUCAGCCCUAAAAAGGAAUGAAUUAACAGCAUUUACAAUGACUUGGAUGAGAAUAGAGACUAUUAUUCUAAAUGAAGUAACUCAGAAAUGGAAAACCAAACAUCGUAUAUUAUCACUGAUAUGCAGGAGGUAAGCGAUGAGGAUGCAAAGGCAUAAGAAUGAUGCAGUGGACUUUGAGGACCUGCAGGGACGAAUGGGAGGUGGUCGAGGGUAAAAGACUAUAAAUAUGGUGCAGUGUAUACUGCUUGGGUGAUGGAUACACCAGAUUCUCUCAAACAACCACUAAAGAAUUUACUCAUGUGACCAUGUGACCAAAUACCACCAAUACCUCACUAAGGUAUGAAAAAACAAAAUUUUAAAAAGAAUUAGUUGGGAAAGUAGAUGUAAAAUGCUUAUCUAAGUUUGCAGCAUAUGAUGCAUGCAUAAAAACUUAGACAAUUACAUUCCGACUAAAAAAGUAGAAAAUACUUUUAAUUGGGCUAUACCAGUAAGGAGCUCAUAGUGUCACCAGAAGCGACAAGCAUGAGAAUGUUUGCUAUAUAAAAUGUUUGAGUGAAAUGAAAUCACUCUGAGGACAACAACCUGUUCUAAUUAUAUUUUAUGUUUCUCUUGCCACCAGCUCCGAGGUCUGUUGUCCAGUGAUUGGAUACAAGCUGGAAUGUCCUAGCAGAUCUAUUGUGGCAAAGAUGUGUAAAAUCCCUCUACAUGGCAUUCUGCAUAAGAUUUGUGGAGAAAAUACGGGGAACUGCUCACUGGGGAUGCUAUGCUUUGUUUGCCUGUCCCAUGAAAGCUACACCUAGAGGCAUUUACGAACUCUAAGCUAGGGCCCAAAGCAAAUAAUUAUAGCACUAAACAAUCCACCCCUCAAAGCAUAUAUUUUUCUCUAAUUUUUUGUUGUUUAUGAAGUUUCACAUAAGAUAAUCACAUUACAUUAAUUAUGAUGUAAACCUUUGAUUAGAGAGCUUUGGAGAAAUUCCUCAGAAGAUCAAUCUUUCAAAUAAAAAUAAAUAUGUCAGUCUCAGGUAUUAGUAUCAUUGAAAUAAUGGCCAUUUCUUUAUUUAUAUAGAUGCUGUUAUGUUAUUUAGUAUUAUCUUGGUCCUUUUAUUUAAAUAAAUUCUUUGGUUCUCUAACUAUUAAUGAUUCACUUUCUUUUAGAAGUUAUAUAAUUCAUUCUAUCCCCCAGCUUCAGAUUAUCUUGUUAUAACAUCCAGCAUCUAAUUUCCAAUUUUGCAAUCACACUCUUUCAACUCCCAUCCUGCCCAGUGGAGAUAUAUGGGAAGGGGUAAGAGGAUGCUGUGGUCUGGGGGAUGCUGAUUUCCUGGCUUGGUUUUGCCACCUGCUACCUACAUGUACCCUUUCUGAGGCUCAGUUGUGACUUGUGUAAUUGGGUUUGGUUACACUUCACAGAGUUAUAAGGCUAAAAGAGAUGGUACUUUGAAUACUGCUUUGUAAAAUUCUGUGAAAGCAAAAGCCAAGGACUUAUUAAGGCUCUUCAUGUCAAUGCCCGUUCAAUGGCUGUAUCUGUUACCUCAUUUUUGGUGACAUUGUCUUAAUAUUGAAAGCCCGUUAUUAUUAAAUUAGUAUAAGGAAGAAACUUCAUAAAAUGAAGAUAUGGAUUUCAUAUUCAGAAAAGUUUAAAAACUGCCAUUGCUUACUCCCUACCCAUAAAUAUGCUCCAGUCGAAACCAUAAAAUGAAUUUUUUACUCCCUGUUAGGAAGUAUCAGCUUUAGGAAGGAUCAUCUUCUGGAAGAAUGAUUUUUCCUCAAAGAAACCAAAGUUCAUUUCUGUUCAGGAAUAGGGUGAUAUAUUUACAUAUGCAAACAAAUGCUAUAUUUCUUUGUGAUCCAAAGGACUUACACUCUAAUGGUGAGUAGGGCAGAUUUUUAAAGUGUGGGUGAAGGGUCCACCUAGUGCACAGUGAGCUGUAGGACAUGGGUGAAAUAGAUUUCAUCUCCCUGUGCACAUUAAAGUGGACAUUCACAAUGUGUAUAAAGGAGCUAUAGAGAAAUGCUUUUCCUCUUGCUUAUUUCCUGUUUCAUUUCUAUGAUCUAUGAAACAGGAAAGCUAAAUGCUGCACCCAUUGAUAGGUGCAUUCGACUGUGGUAGCAUUCCCUGAGGCCAGCUGGUAGCUAACCUGGUAUUCAGCCAAUUGUGUCAUUUUAUAUCUAUGCACAGGAUCAAGGUCAGCAGCAUAUUGCAGAUGACCUCUUAUGUGGACUAAUGUUUAUCAGCUGACUUUGGAAACCAUAACCAAGCUAUCCUUCAUUAAGUGCGCUUUCCUUAAGCAGUGCAGCAUAAAGUGGGUUUGAACAGAACUAGACCUCUUACGUAACCUGCUUGUUUUCACUGAAGAUUGGCAACAGGUCAAAAAAGGCAUCGGGCAAGUUCCCACGCAGUUCAGCUUGUUUAUUAACAGUAAGAGACGAGUUAUAUGAUGUUAUCCAAUGAUACCAUCCCCUAAAACA